GACGAACGCUGGCGGCGUGCUUAACACAUGCAAGUCGAACGAUGAAGCGGGUGCUUGCACUCGUGGAUUAGUGGCGAACGGGCGAGUAACACGUGAGUAACCUGUCCUUUUCUUUGGGAUAACGGCUGGAAACGGCUGCUAAUACUGGAUAUUCAGGCUGCAUCGCAUGGUGUGGUUUGGAAAGGUUUUUUCUGGGAUUGGGUGGGCUCGCGGCCUAUCAGCUUGUUGGUGGGGUGAUGGCUUACCAAGGCUUUGACGGGUAGCCGGCCUGAGAGGGUGGUCGGUCGCACUGGGACUGAGAUACGGCCCAGACUCCUACGGGAGGCAGCAGUGGGGAAUAUUGCACAAUGGACGAAAGUUUGAUGCAGCGACGUCGCGUGGAGGGUGUAGGCCUUCGGGUUGUGAACUCCUUUUUCUCGCGAAAAAGGCACAGUUUUGGCUGUGUUGAUGGUAGUGGGGGAAGAAGCGCCGGCUAACUACGUG
rnacentral:rRNA from 1 species